rnacentral:rRNA from 1 species
GAUGAACGCUGGCGGCGUGCCUAACACAUGCAAGUCGAACGAAGCACUUUUUUACGAUCCCUUCGGGGUGACGAAUUUGUGACUGAGUGGCGGACGGGUGAGUAACGCGUGGGAAACCUGCCUUGUACCGGGGGAUAGCAGUUGGAAACGACUGAUAAUACCGCAUAAGCGCACAGUAUCACAUGAUACAGUGUGAAAAACUCCGGUGGUACAAGAUGGUCCCGCGUCUGAUUAGCUUGUUGGCGGGGUAAUGGCCCACCAAGGCGACGAUCAGUAGCCGACCUGAGAGGGUGACCGGCCACAUUGGGACUGAGACACGGCCCAAACUCCUACGGGAGGCAGCAGUGGGGAAUAUUGCACAAUGGAGGAAACUCUGAUGCAGCGACGCCGCGUGAGCGAUGAAGUAUUCGGUAUGUAAAGCUCUAUCAGCAGGGAAGAUAAUGACGGUACCUGAGUAAGAAGCUCCGGCUAAAUACGUGCCAGCAGCCG